GACGAACGCUGGCGGCGUGCUUAACACAUGCAAGUCGAACGGAAAGGCCCUGCUUUUGUGGGGUGCUCGAGUGGCGAACGGGUGAGUAACACGUGAGUAACCUGCCCUUGACUUUGGGAUAACUUCAGGAAACUGGGGCUAAUACCGGAUAGGAGCUCCUGCUGCAUGGUGGGGGUUGGAAAGUUUCGGCGGUUGGGGAUGGACUCGCGGCUUAUCAGCUUGUUGGUGGGGUAGUGGCUUACCAAGGCUUUGAUGGGUAGCCGGCCUGAGAGGGUGACCGGCCACAUGGGGACUGAGAUACGGCCCAGAUUCCUACGGGAGGAAGCAGGGGGAAUAUUGCACAAUGGGCGGAAGCCUGAUGCAGCAACGCCGCGUGCGGGAUGACGGCCUUCGGGUUGUAAACCGCUUUCGCCUGUGACGAAGCGUGAGUGACGGUAAUGGGUAAAGAAGCACCGGCUAACUACGUG
rnacentral:rRNA from 1 species